rnacentral:rRNA from 1 species
UACAGAGGUCUCAAGCGUUGUUCGGAUUCAUUGGGCGUAAAGGGUGCGUAGGCGGUUGAUUAAGUCAGUUGUGAAAUACGGCAGCUUAACUGUCGAGGUGCAAUUGAUACUGGUUGACUUGAGUACAGACGAGGUAGGCGGAAUUGACGGUGUAGCGGUGAAAUGCAUAGAUAUCGUCAAGAACACCGAUAGCGAAGGCAGCUUACUAGACUGUAACUGACGCUGAGGCACGAAAGUGUGGGGAUCAAACAGG